rnacentral:rRNA from 1 species
GACGAACGCUGGCGGCGUGCUUAACACAUGCAAGUUGAACGGAAAGGCCCUGCUUUUGUGGGGUGCUCGAGUGGCGAACGGGUGAGUAACACGUGAGUAACCUGCCCUUGACUUUGGGAUAACUUCAGGAAACUGGGGCUAAUACCGGAUAGGAGCUCCUGCUGCAUGGUGGGGGUUGGAAAGUUUCGGCGGUUGGGGAUGGACUCGCGGCUUAUCAGCUUGUUGGUGGGGUAGUGGCUUACCAAGGCUUUGACGGGUAGCCGGCCUGAGAGGGUGACCGGCCACAUUGGGACUGAGAUACGGCCCAGACUCCUACGGGAGGCAGCAGUGGGGAAUAUUGCACAAUGGGCGGAAGCCUGAUGCAGCAACGCCGCGUGCGGGAUGACGGCCUUCGGGUUGUAAACCGCUUUCGCCUGUGACGAAGCGUGAGUGACGGUAAUGGGUAAAGAAGCACCGGCUAACUACGUG